UACGUAGGGGGCUAGCGUUGUCCGGAAUCAUUGGGCGUAAAGCGCGCGUAGGCGGUCAGGUAAGUCCGGUGUGAAAGUCAAAGGCUCAACCUUUGAAUGCCGCUGGAUACUGCCUGACUUGAGUCCGGAAGGGGCGAGUGGAAUUCCUGGUGUAGCGGUGAAAUGCGCAGAUAUCAGGAAGAACACCAAUGGCGAAAGCAGCUCUCUGGGACGGUACUGACGCUGAGACGCGAAAGCGUGGGGAGCGAACAGG
rnacentral:rRNA from 1 species